rnacentral:rRNA from 1 species
UACGAAGGGGGCUAGCGUUGCUCGGAAUCACUGGGCGUAAAGCGCACGUAGGCGGCUAACUAAGUCAGGGGUGAAAUCCUGGAGCUCAACUCCAGAACUGCCUUUGAUACUGGUGAGCUUGAGUCCGGAAGAGGUGAGUGGAACUGCGAGUGUAGAGGUGAAAUUCGUAGAUAUUCGCAAGAACACCAGUGGCGAAGGCGGCUCACUGGUCCGGUACUGACGCUGAGGUGCGAAAGCGUGGGGAGCAAACAGG